UAAGUAAUCUACCUUCGAAACUGGGACAACCUUCCGAAAGGGGGGCUAAUACCGGAUAAGACCACGAUAUACAUUAUAGUGGUAAAAGAUGACCUCUGCUUGCAAGUUAUCAUUUGAAGAUGAGCUUAUGUCCUAUCAGCUUGUUGGUGGGGUAAAGGCCUACCAAGGCUAUGACGGGUACCUGGUCUGAGAGGAUGACCAGGCACACUGGAACUGAGACACGGUCCAGACUCCUACGGGAGGCAGCAGUAGGGAAUUUUGCGCAAUGGGAGAAAUCCUGACGCAGCGACGCCGCGUGAGUGAUGAAGGCUUUCGGGCUGUAAAACUCUGUUUAGUGGGAAGAAGGGUUUAAGGCUAAUAUCCUUAAGCAUUGACGGUACCACUAGAGUAAGCACCGGCUAACUCCGUGCCAGCAGCCGCGGUAAUACGGAGGGUGCAAGCGUUGAUCGGAAUUACUGGGCGUACAGCGAGAGCAGGUGGUCUAAUAAGUCAGAUGUGAAAUCUCUAGGCUUAACCUAGAAACUGCAUCUGAUACUAUUAAACUAGAGUGUAAGAGAGGGUGAUGGAAUUCCCAGUGUAGGGUAAAAAUCCGUAGAUAUUGGGAGGAACACCGGAGUCGAAGGCGAUCACCUGGCUUACAACUGACACUCAUCCUCGAGAGCAUGGGUAGCAAACAGGAUUAGAUACCCUGGUAGUCUAUGCUGUAAACGAUGGACACUAGAUGUUGUGGGGUUUGAUCCCUGCAGUAUCGUAGUUAACGCGUUAAGUGUCCCGCCUGGGGAAUACGGUCGCAAGAUUAAAACUCAAAGAAAUUGACGGGGGCCCGCACAAGCGUUGGAGCAUGUGGUUCAAUUCGAGGCAACGCGAAAAACCUUUACCUGGGCUUGACAUCCUGCUUUAAAUCAUAGAGAUAUGGUCUAGUCUUCGGACAAGGCAGGACAGGUGCUGCAUGGCUGUCGUCAGCUCGUGUCGUGAGAUGUUG
rnacentral:rRNA from 1 species